GCUAACCCGGUGCCAGCUGCGCCGGGAAGACAGAGGGGGCGAGCGUGAAUCGGAAUUACUGUGCGUAAAGCGCGAGUAGGCGGCUUUGCAAGUCGGGGGUGAAAUCCCCAGGCUUAACCUGGGAACUGCAUUCGAGACUGCAUUGCUAGAGUAUGGGAGAGGGAAGUGGAAUUUCCGGUGUAGCGGUGAAAUGCGUAGAUAUCGGAAGGAACAUCAGUGGCGAAAGCGACUUCCUGGACCAAUACUGACGCUCAUGUGCGAAAGCGUGGGGAGCAAACAGGAUUAGAUACCCGAGUAGUC
rnacentral:rRNA from 1 species